rnacentral:rRNA from 1 species
GGGAGAGCACUCCUACGGGAGGCAGCAGUGGGGAAUAUUGCACAAUGGGCGCAAGCCUGAUGCAGCCAUGCCGCGUGUAUGAAGAAGGCCUUCGGGUUGUAAAGUACUUUCAGCAGUGAGGAAGGUGGGUAUGUUAAUAGCAUACUCAUUUGACGUUAGCUGCAGAAGAAGCACCGGCUAACUCCGUGCCAGCAGCCGCGGUAAUACGGAGGGUGCGAGCGUUAAUCGGAAUUACUGGGCGUAAAGCGCAUGCAGGUGGUUUGUUAAGUCAGAUGUGAAAGCCCGGGGCUCAACCUCGGAAUUGCAUUUGAAACUGGCAAACUAGAGUACUGUAGAGGGGGUAGAAUUUCAGGUGUAGCGGUGAAAUGCGUAGAGAUCUGAAGGAAUACCGGUGGCGAAGGCGGCCCCCUGGACAGAUACUGACACUCAGAUGCGAAAGCGUGGGGAGCAAACAGGAUUAUAUACCCUGGUAG